UACGGGGGGGGCAAGCGUUGUUCGGAAUUAUUGGGCGUAAAGAGCUCGUAGGCGGUCCAUUAAGUCGGAAGUGAAAUCUCAGGGCUCAACCCUGAAAUUGCUUUCGAUACUGGUGGACUUGAGGCAGGUAGGGGAAGGUGGAAUUCCUGGUGUAGCGGUGAAAUGCGCAGAUAUCAGGAGGAACACCAGUGGCGAAGGCGGCCUUCUGGGCCUGUUCUGACGCUGAGGAGCGAAAGCGUGGGGAGCAAACAGG
rnacentral:rRNA from 1 species